GACGAACGCUGGCGGCGUGCCUAAUACAUGCAAGUAGAACGCACAGUUUAUACCGUAGCUUGCUCCACCAUAGACUGUGAGUUGCGAACGGGUGAGUAACGCGUAGGUAACCUGCCUGGUAGCGGGGGAUAACUAUUGGAAACGAUAGCUAAUACCGCAUAAUAUUAAUUAUUGCAUGAUAAUUAAUUGAAAGGUGCAAUUGCACCACUACCAGAUGGACCUGCGUUGUAUUAGCUAGUAGGUGAGGUAACGGCUCACCUAGGCGACGAUACAUAGCCGACCUGAGAGGGUGAUCGGCCACACUGGGACUGAGACACGGCCCAGACUCCUACGGGAGGCAGCAGUAGGGAAUCUUCGGCAAGGGACGAAAGUCUGACCGAGCAACGCCGCGUGAGUGAAGAAGGUUUUCGGAUCGUAAAGCUCUGUUGUAAGAGAAGAACGGGUGUGAGAGUGGAAAGUUCACACUGUGACGGUAUCUUACCAGAAAGGGACGGCUAACUACGUG
rnacentral:rRNA from 1 species